UACGUAGGGUGCAAGCGUUGUCCGGAAUUAUUGGGCGUAAAGAGCGUGUAGGCGGCCCGAUUAGUCCGCUGUGAAAGUCCAGGGCUCAACCCUGGAAUGCCGGUGGAUACUGUCGGGCUAGAGUCCGGAAGGGGCGAGUGGAAUUCCUGGUGUAGCGGUGAAAUGCGUAGAUAUCUGGAGGAACACCGGUGGCGAAGGCGGCAUCCUGGACCGUAACUGACGCUGAGACACGAAAGCGUGGGUAGCAAACAGG
rnacentral:rRNA from 1 species